rfam:Glycine soja cultivar W05 scaffold4438_11, whole genome shotgun sequence.
ACGACCUUACUUGAACAGGAUCUGUUCUAUAGGCUCGUACCUCUGUGUCCUUGAGUUCUAAGGAGACAGGAACCUAUGUCUGGCGGAUGAACCAUGACCGUGUGAUCAGAGCGUGAUUAACGGCCUAUUGAUCUCCUCUGUGGAGGGGUGAUAACUUAGGCUGUAGAGGAUCGUUCUUAGGCAGAUUCCUGUCUGGGAUGGUCACACGGUUGUCUGACAGACC